AAUGGGUCAGCGACUUAUAUUCUGUAGCAAGGUUAACCGAAUAGGGGAGCCGAAGGGAAACCGAGUCUUAACUGGGCGUUAAGUUGCAGGGUAUAGACCCGAAACCCGGUGAUCUAGCCAUGGGCAGGUUGAAGGUUGGGUAACACUAACUGGAGGACCGAACCGACUAAUGUUGAAAAAUUAGCGGAUGACUUGUGGCUGGGGGUGAAAGGCCAAUCAAACCGGGAGAUAGCUGGUUCUCCCCGAAAGCUAUUUAGGUAGCGCCUCGUGAAUUCAUCUCCGGGGGUAGAGCACUGUUUCGGCAAGGGGGUCAUCCCGACUUACCAACCCGAUGCAAACUGCGAAUACCGGAGAAUGUUAUCACGGGAGACACACGGCGGGUGCUAACGUCCGUCGUGAAGAGGGAAACAACCCAGACCGCCAGCUAAGGUCCCAAAGUCAUGGUUAAGUGGGAAACGAUGUGGGAAGGCCCAGACAGCCAGGAUGUUGGCUUAGAAGCAGCCAUCAUUUAAAGAAAGCGUAAUAGCUCACUGGUCGAGUCGGCCUGCGCGGAAGAUGUAACGGGGCUAAACCAUGCACCGAAGCUGCGGCAGCGACGCUUAUGCGUUGUUGGGUAGGGGAGCG
rnacentral:rRNA from 1 species